CGCCAUCUUAGUUGUUCUGUCGGCGGCGACUGUAGCGGUGGUUGCUGCGCGAAGCGGGAGGAGGGCUUGGACGACCGGCGGCGGCGGCGGCCUCCCGAAUUUGGUCACCCCCGGUGGUAGUGUGGGAAGAGGACGCCGCCGCGGGCUCGCGCGGUCUGCUCCGGACCCUGUGCUCGGCCCUCCUCCAGGCGAAAGGUGUCGUGUCGGUCGCCGUUGCUGGUCCCGCCCCUUUCUUGGUUCGGGCCCCAGGGCCCUCGUUGCCCCCUCUGCCAUUGUUGCCUGGGGAGGCGGGGCUCGGGCCGCUCUGGAUGGUGGUUAAAAUGAUCAUAGAAAACUUCGAGGCGCUGAAAUCCUGGCUCAGCAAAACCUUGGAGCCCAUAUGUGAUGCGGAUCCAUCAGCCUUAGCUAAAUAUGUUCUUGCUCUAGUCAAGAAGGAUAAAAGUGAGAAAGAACUUAAGGCAUUGUGUGUUGAUCAGCUGGAUGUGUUUCUUCAAAAGGAGACCCAGAUAUUUGUAGAAAAACUUUUUGAUGCUGUGAAUACAAAGAGCUAUCUACCUCCACCAGAGCAGCCAUCAUCGGGGAGCCUGAAAUCAGACUUCUUUCAGCAUCAAGAAAAAGAAACAAAAAAGGAGGAGGUAAUUAAAGAAGAAGAGAGAGAGAAGAAGUUUUCUAGAAGGUUGAAUCAUAGCCCUCCUCAGUCAAGCUCACGGUAUCGCGAAACCAGGACUAAAAGAAACCACAUUACAACAAGCCAGAAAAUGCCCACUGGAAUAAAAAUGUUUUCACCUGAUGGCGAAAAAGAGCCAACGAGGGAGCCCAGUGCAUCUCCAGGAAGCAGGGAUGAAAGAAAGAAAGAGGAGCGCUCUCGCAAGAGAGAAUAUGAUCGGAAUCCUCCACGGAGAGAGUCCUAUAGAGACCGGUACAACAGAAGACGGGGCCGGAGUCGAAGCUACAGCAGGAGUCGCAGUAGAAGCUGGAGCAAAGAAAGGUUGCGGGAUCGAGAUAGGGAUAGGAGCAGAAGUAGAAGUAGAAGCAGAACAAGAAGCAGAGAGAGAGACCUGGGAAAGCCAAAAUAUGACUUGGACAGAACAGAGCCAUUAGAAAACAACUAUACUCCUGUUUCUUCUGUAACAAACAUUUCAUCUGGCCACUAUCCUGUCCCUACUCUGAGUAGCACUAUAACGGUUAUCGCUCCUGCUCACCAUGGAAAUAAUACUACUGAAAGUUGGUCAGAAUUUCAUGAAGAACAGUUGGAUCACAACUCCUAUGGAAGACCCCCACUGCCAAAAAAACGUUGCAGAGACUAUGAUGAAAAGGGUUUCUGUAUGAGAGGAGAUAUGUGUCCUUUUGAUCAUGGAAGUGACCCUGUAGUUGUAGAAGAUGUGAAUCUUCCAGGCAUGCUGCCUUUUCCAGCACAGCCCCCAGUUGUUGAAGGACCACCACCUCCAGGACUUCCUCCUCCACCACCUAUUCUUACUCCUCCUCCUGUAAAUCUCAGACCACCAGUUCCACCUCCAGGCCCAUUACCACCUAGCCUUCCACCUGUUACAGGACCACCACCUCCACUUCCUCCUUUGCAACCCUCUGGAAUGGAUGCUCCCCCAAAUUCUGCGACCAGUUCUGUUCCUACAGUUGUGACAACGGGUAUUCAUCACCAGCCACCUCCUGCUCCACCCUCUCUUUUUACAGAAACGUAUGAUACAGAUGGCUACAACCCUGAAGCACCAAGUAUAACCAGCACUUCAAGACCCAUGUAUAGACACAGAGUUCAUGCCCAAAGACCAAAUUUGAUAGGACUUACAUCAGGUGAUAUGGACCUGCCACCAAGAGAAAAGCCUCCUAAUAAAAGCAGUAUGAGGAUAGUGGUAGAUUCUGAGUCCCGAAAAAGGACAAUUGGUGCAGGUGAUGGAGUUCCAGCAAAGAAGAAUUGGUUUGACAAGCAAAACUUUAACAGAACAAACAGUCCAGCUUUCCAGAAGAAAGUUCAAUUUGGAAAUGAAAAUACCAAACUUGAAUUGAGGAAAGUUCCUUCAGAACUUAACAAUAUCAGCAAAUUAAAUGAGCACUUCAGCAAAUUUGGGAACUUAGUAAAUUUGCAGGUUGCCUAUCAAGGAGAUCCAGAAGGUGCCCUCAUCCAGUUUGCUACCCAUGAGGAGGCAAAGAAAGCAAUAUCAAGCACAGAAGCAGUAUUAAAUAAUCGGUUCAUUAAAGUCUAUUGGCAUAGAGAAGGCAGUGCUCCACCAAUGCCAACUUCAGUGCAAAAGGUAAUACAGCCUUUAGCCCAGCAGCCCAUUCUGCCUGUUGUGAAGCAGUCCGUCAAAGAGCGCUUAGGUCCAGUACCAGCCAGUAACAUUGAGCCUGCAGAAGCUCAGCGUGCCAGCACAGAAGGUGUCCAGAAUGUAACAAAGCUAUCUGUGAAGGAAAGGCUGGGGUUUGUACCUAAACCACCUAUCCCUACUACUGAAAAGGUGUUGUCUACUUCUACUGGCUUGACAAAAACCGUGUAUAACCCAGCUGCUUUGAAGGCAGCUCAGAAAACGUUGCCUGUUGUUAACCCUUCCAUGCUUGACUCUAGUGAAGCACAGAAGAAAAAACAGGAGGCACUAAGACUUCAGCAAGAUGUGCGGAAGAAAAAACAAGAGAUCUUAGAAAAGCACAUUGAAACGCAAAAGAUGCUGAUUUCAAGAUUGGAGAAGAAUAAAGCUAUGAAGUCUGAGGACAAAGCUGAAAUCAUGAAAACUCUGGAGACUUUGACUAACAGCAUCACUAAGUUAAAGGAUGAAUUGAAAGGAGUCACAACCCCAGCAAGCACCCCACUGAAAAAUGUGAAAACAAAAAUGCAGAUGCAGAAAGAAUUACUGGACACUGAGUUGGAUUUAUAUAAGAAGAUGCAGGCUGGGGAAGAAGUCACUGAACUAAGAAGAAAGUAUACAGAACUUCAGCUUGAAGCUGCAAAAAGAGGAAUUCUAUCCUCAGGUCGUGGAAGAGGAGUUCAUACUCGCGGUCGAGGUGUGUCACGUGGCAGAGGUAGGGGAGGAAGAGGCCGGGGUCGAGGAAGAGGUGUUCGUGUUCAUGCCGUGGUGGAUCACCGGCCAAGGGCACUCGAAAUCUCUGCUUUUACAGAGAAUGACCGAGAAGAUCUCCUUCCUCAUUUUGCGCAAUAUGGUGAAAUUGAAGACUGCCAGAUAGAUGACUCAUCUCUCCAUGCAGUGAUUACGUUCACGACCAGAGCUGAAGCUGAAGCAGCUGCCGUCCAUGGAGCUCGGUUUAAAGGGCAAGAUCUGAAGUUGGCCUGGAACAAGCCAGUUGCAAAUAUGUCAGCAGUCGAAACUGAGGAGACUGAACCAGAUGAAGAAGAAUUUCAGGAAGAAUCCUUGGUAGAUGACUCAUUACUUCAAGAUGAUGAUGAAGAUGAUGAAGACAAUGAAUCUCGCUCUUGGAGAAGAUGAUUCAGCUGAUCACUGACAAUGCUAGGACUGUACCUCUGUUGCAUUAGCAUUUCCUAAAGUACCUUGGCAUAUUUGUACUACAAGGGGUUUGGGUAGGAGUGAUGAAGUUGGAUUUCAGAUAAGACACAAGCAGCUGACUGAUCCUGUAUUUUGAGUGAUUGAUGUUCAAGUUGCAUUUACAUUUCAGUAAAUGAUUGCUAGAGACAUCAUAUUAAGAGCAUAUGCAAUGUUUUUAUUACUUCUACUGAAACAUUACAGAAUUCUUUGGGUUCUUUGUAAUUUAAGAAAUUGGUCAUACAACAAAAUGACCAAGAGUUGUUAUAACACAGACAUUUUUUUUUUUAUUCCAAGUAUGGAAUAAAUGUUUGCAUUUAAGAUCUUUGUGACUGUUUUCAGAAAUGAUAGAUAACAGUACUAAACUCAAGUCUUUAAAGUUAUGUAUUCAUAAUAUUGCAUAGUAGUAUGCUUAGGCUUUACUAUGUAUUAGCCUUUUGUUGGAUUUGUGUACGUAUUUUACGUAUGAGUUUUAAUGAUACAUUGUAUGACUGCUUUGCAUAUAUCUCCUUAUCACUUUAAGAUGUUAAAAAAAUAAAGAAAUGGAAUGGUCUUUGGGGAAAAAGAGAAAAAAGCAAUAAUGAAGUUACACUAUGGCCCAUGAUAAUGGAGAGAAAAAAAAUCACCAAAAAAAAAAAAAAAUCAAGACCAUUCCAAGUGGUGACCCCCACCCCCACUUACUCAAGAAAAGAGCUGAAUCACUGUCACUUUUUUCAACCUCAAAAACAAAAUGAUAUAGCUAUAUGCUUAGCUUACGUGUCUAUUGUGUGCGGAAAAUCUUCCGAAGCACUUCUGAACUAGCAAAACUGACCACUGAACUUCAGAAUGAGACUUUCAAUGAGAGUUCUGGCUUCAAGAAUAAGACAAUCACUCUUACAUUUAAGACACUAAAGAAGACUUGUUGGGUGGAGGCUCAGGUUUAAAGAACUAUAGCAAAAUGAGUUGAGAAACUGGUAACUCAAAAUAGUGGUGGAUUCAGCUGCAAAGAUUUUCACCGUGCUUUGGGUUUCUUAAGCAACGAUGGAAAAACCGAGAGACUUCCGAUGGUCACUGCAGUCCACCUUGUGCAUCAUUCCUCUGGGAAGUAUUCAACCUGCUUAUUACCAGAUUACAGAUUUUAAGUCUCUCCUGCACAAAUGGAAGAUAUCACUAGAGUGCUGCAUAGUGCUUUGAAGUGGAGAAUGUGAUGAAGAGAGCCUUGAUUUUUUUAACUAGGUGUCAUUGUAGCACCAUGUGCACAGCUAACAUUGAAAAUACUCAACUUGACAACCCUUCUACACAUGGAGCAUAAUCGGGACUCAGCAGAAGACACAACUGAUUUCAGGAGCUGGUAUUUAUGUGGAGUCUUCACUUGCCUUCCCUCCUGGCUCUCCUUUUCACAAAAGUUGAUUUUACAUGGUCAUUGUGGUGGGCAGAAUACAGGAAUAAGGAUGUAAACAUAUUUGGUAGGCAAACUUAAAUAAUUUGCUCUUUUCUACCUUUUUUAAAAAAGGUAAAUAAAUUUACCUCUUCUGUAAUAAAAUAAUUGCUAGUGUGCAUGUCUGUGUGUCCCUUUCUGUUGACUUCAGUAUUUCAAAAGAGCCAAAUAAAUCUGCCCUAAGCUUAUAGUUUGCAAAUGGGCAGAGUGCUUCUGCCUCAUUUAGCAGCAUCACACUGCCUCUGGUCCCUUCCUGAUGUCAGAAUGGAAGCAGACAAUUGUUUCGUUCUCCUAGUUCUGAAUUGCACCUCUAGAGUGAGUCUGUGGUUGCUGGUGCAGGAGACUAGGGAAGAUUUUGCCAUUUCCCUCCCUUCUCACUCUCUCCCUGGGAAAAAAAAUCCAACACCCCCCUCCCCAAACCUCAUUUCUCAACAUGCCUGUGGAUACCCAAGGAUGGAGGUGAUCAGAGAGAAGCUUUCCUCUCCCUCUUUCCCAAGCAAUCACACUCUGUGGGAGGCCAGACCUCUGUGUUAACUAUCACUGUAAGAUGCUUUUGUGAGAUAGUUGGAUUCUGGUUGAUAGGGCGAGGGUGGAAGUUUUAACCCAUCCCAUUGUUGCCUAAGCCAAUAAAUGGCAGAAAGAAAGGAAAAGUCAAAGCAGAAUUGAGCAAAGAUUUCCUAGACUAAUAACAGUUAUUUGUCACAGUUUCAUGAAAUAACUCAACCAGGCCUCCAUCUCACCUCACAGAGGUAUUGUGUUGAAAAAAUGCUGUUCUCUGCUUCUUUCUAAUAGGAAGGAUGAGAUACAAAUUUUACUAAUAAAUUCAUCUUGUAGUCAUGAGAAUCCUCAUUGAUUUGGAUCCCAGAUAAAACUUUUGUAUUUUUUUGAAAAAUUGAAAGAAAAAUCCAUGUGGCACAUAAGGCAGAUUGUGAUGUGUCUCAAGAUUUGCUGUUUUGUUAAGCACACAAUUUUAAUGCUUAUACUUCAGUUACACUGAUUCAGUCUUCCCAAAAAUGAUCUGUGUCAUUUCCAUUAUACAGAAAACUUUUAAAAUGUAUUUUCUGCACUCUUCUUUAAUAAAAAUUAUUUUUUUAAA